AUUGAACGCUGGCGGCAUGCCUUACACAUGCAAGUCGAACGGCAGCGCGGGCUUCGGCCUGGCGGCGAGUGGCGGACGGGUGAGUAAUGCAUAGGAACGUGCCCAGUAGUGGGGGAUAGCCCGGCGAAAGCCGGAUUAAUACCGCAUACGACCUGAGGGUGAAAGCGGGGGACCGAAAGGCCUCGCGCUAUUGGAGCGGCCGAUGUCGGAUUAGCUAGUUGGUGGGGUAAAGGCUUACCAAGGCGACGAUCCGUAGCUGGUCUGAGAGGAUGACCAGCCACACUGGAACUGAGACACGGUCCAGACUCCUACGGGAGGCAGCAGUGGGGAAUCUUGGACAAUGGGCGCAAGCCUGAUCCAGCCAUGCCGCGUGCGUGAAGAAGGUCUUCGGAUUGUAAACCGCUUUUAUUCGGGAAGAAAGCCUGUGUGCUAAUACCCCGGGGUGUUGACGGUACCGAAAGAAUAAGCACCGGCUAACUACGUG
rnacentral:rRNA from 1 species